CCCCUGGAAGACUAGUGGUUAGGCAACAGCACUCUCACCACUAUGACCUGGGUUCGAUUCCCAGCCACUGGG